GACGAACGCUGGCGGCGUGCUUAACACAUGCAAGUCGAACGGGUCUGCCCUGUUUUUUGCGGGGUGGGUCAGUGGCGAACGGGUGAGUAACCCGUGAGUAACCUGCCCCUCACUUCUGGAUAACCGCUUGAAAGGGUGGCUAAUACGGGGUGUUCUGGCUGUGCCGCAUGGUGUGGCUGGGAAAGAUUCACUUUUGUGGUGUUUUGGUGGGGGAUGGGCUCGCGGCCUAUCAGCUUGUUGGGGGGGUGAUGGCCUGCCAAGGCUUUGACGGGUAGCCGGCCUGAGAGGGUUGGCGGUCACACUGGGACUGAGAUACGGCCCAGACUCAUGCGGGAGGCAGCAGUGGGGGGUAUUGCACAAUGGGCGGAAGCCUGAUGCAGCGACGUCGCGUGAGGGAUGGAGGCCUUCGGGUUGUGAACCUCUUUCGCCGGUGAAGAAGGUCCUGCUCUUUGUGGUGGGGUUGACGGUAGCCGGGUUAUGAAGCGCCGGCUAACUACGUG
rnacentral:rRNA from 1 species